UACAGAGGGUGCAAGCGUUGUUCGGAAUCAUUGGGCGUAAAGGGCGCGUAGGUGGUUCUGUAUGUCUACCGUGAAAGCAUACGGCUCAACUGUAUUUUGUCGGUAGAAACUGCAGGACUUGAGGCUGGGAGGGGCUGGUGGAAUUCCCUGUGUAGCGGUGAAAUGCGUAGAGAUGGGGGAGAACACUCGUGGCGAAGGCGGCCAGCUAGACCAGUUCUGACACUGAGGCGCGACAGCGUGGGGAGCAAACAGG
rnacentral:rRNA from 1 species